AGUGAUUCUCGUGCCUGUCUCCUGAGUAGCUGGGACUACAGAUGAACACCACAGACGGGGUAAAUGAUUUGCCUAAAGUCACACAGCUCGUAAGGGCCAGAGCCCACACUUUCAUCCACUAGCCUAUAUUCUGUGCUGUCAUCACUGAUAGCAGUGACUGAGACUGAGAGACAAAGUCACUUAAGAGCUGAUGGCUGGUAAGUGACAAGAACCAGGAUUUACAAUUCAGGUAACUGUCCAUCAGUAGAGCCUGUGUCUCAACAUAUAACCUAUGUCUGCUCACACGCCCUAGAAAGCACUGACAGUUCAGGACUCCCAGUGUGCUCCCCAACAGCGUGCAGUGGCCAAGGCCAAGAUCUUCCCUGGGGAGUGAAGUGGUGAGAGGGGCGCAGGACAGGCAAGGACAGAGUCACGUAACUCUUAGAGGAGUCAGGCAUGGGCGUGCGGCUGAGGGCUGGCCCCUGGGCCUCAGCAUACAGACUUCCUCUAGUGCAGGGGCCCACAAGCUUGUUCUGUAAAGGGUCAUGCGUGGCCUCCAUCACAUAUUCUUUAUUCUUCUCAUUCUUAUAACCCUUUAAAAAUGUGAAAAGCCAUUCCCCAGGUUGGGGGUGGCCUGCGAGCUCUCAUGUCCAUUCCUGCCAUGAUCUCUGGGCGCACCCUCUCUGUCACCACUUCAGGGACAGAGGGACUCUGAGUUCUGACAACCGUCCCUUUCUGAGAAGCCAUUCACCCAGCACACUGUUCAGUAAACUUCCACUGGGAUCUCCUGGAGACCAGGCCAUGACCCAGUCAUGAAGGAGGGAUGGAGCGAGGACAGUCUUUGCUCUUAGGAGCUCAGGCUCCUGCAGGGGAAGAGACAGAGCUACGACUCAGCGUGAUGAGUACAGGGUGGAACAGGAGCUCAGAGGCAAGCCAUUGCCCAGCCCUGAGGACAGUGGAGGCAAGAAAGGCUGCUCAAAACAGGUCCCGCCUGAGCAGAGGCUUAAAGGGGCAAGGGGUUGCCCAAGAGAACAGGGCUGGACCCCACAGGGCACAGAGGUGGGAGAACACUGGGACCUGGGGCCUAAGUCCUCUGGAAUGCAGAGGCAGUGAGCACCAGAACAUCACUGUGCACCAUGGGGAGGGUGCGGGACUCAGACUAAAGGCGCUGGCCAAGGUGGGACAAGGAUGGCCAAGAUGCACAGAAAGAGCCUAGUGACUGACAGGGGAAUGGAUUCAGGCUGGGAAGGAGGCUGUGGCUGUUGCCCAAGCAAAAGAUACUGAGGCAGGAGCUGGGGUGGUGGGGAUCAGAACAAGGGGUGAAUUUGAGAGAUUUGGGAUUCCAGAACUGUGCUACCAUGACAGCCACCAGUCACGUGUGGCCACUGCACACCUGAAACGUGGCUGGUCUGAACUAAGGUACAGAAAGUCAAAUACACAGAAGAUUAGAGAGACUUAGGAACAAAAUGGAUUUAAAUAUCUCAUCAACACUUUAAAAUAUUUCUUACUGCUGAAAUAGUAUUUUAGAUAUAUCUGGAUAUAUUUUAAUGUUAAAAUUCCACCUGUUUUUGGUUUUUAAUGUAGCUACUAAAAAAUUUAAAUGUGUGGCUCACGUUACAUUUCAACUGAACACUGCUAUGCUGGUUCCAGCACAAAAGACAGGUGAGAUGGUGCAGAGAAAAUCCUCAGCAACCCUGCAGGCCCAGGCAGGGGGCAUCGCCCACUCCAGCCUGCUGCUGGCAGUGACUGUGACCAGCGCCUGCAGCCUUUCCCACUAAGCGGAGGCCCCUCCACUCCCCACUCAGCUUCCCGGAGUCUUGCAACCCCCAAGGACUCCUGGGGUCUGAUGAGAAGUAAAUGGUCUCUGUGAUCAGCCACUGUACACUUCCGGUCGUACGGAGCUGUGUGUCCUGUGAAUAGUCUCUGUGGGACCUCGCUCGGUUCGUGUUCCUCAAGAGCAACCAGCCUAACAGUGCCGCAGCACAGUGUGAAAGGAGCACUGGCUUUAAGGCAGAGCCUGGGAUUCUCACCUGGGCUCUGCUCUGCCAUUUUACUAACUGUGGGGACUUGGACAAGUCACUUGCCCUGAGCUUCAGUUUUCUCAUCUGUAAAAUGGGCAUCAUAAUGCCAAUUCCUAUGGCUUUUGAGGCAACAGAGAUCACAUACAUGCAAAAUGCUCAGUGAACUGCCAAACAGAAGGGCAAUCUGACUGGAGAACGUGCUGCUAUAAAGCAGGGCUCUGACCUCCCAGGACCCAGUAACUCAAUUCCAACCUGUAGAACCUUUGAAUUCACAACAGGAGUCUGAGGCCUACUUUUUGGCCUAGAUUUCUUUUGUGUUUUGGAAGAUCCAUUUCUUACAAAUGUCUUAUUAAUAAGACAAUUUAAAUGUUUCUCUCCUCCUUGAAUCCUGCUCAAGCCGGGAAAGUGAGACAUUUCUGAUCAGGAUCCUGGGCAGGACUGGGAGGCUCAUCAUCACUUCUCUGCCCCCAGCUCUCCCGCUCAGCUACAGGCCUGUGUCACCACUCCCCACAGGGACCCCCCAGCUCCAGUUACCUUGUAGGGUACUUCUCCAAGCCUCACCACUCUUGCUUUCUUCAGCCACGUGUCCCUGGAAUGCAGAGUGUGCACACAAUCCCUGUGGAACCAACACAGGACACAAAGGUAACUCAGUCCACAGCCCCACUGCGGGAAUGCGGGACAGUGGAGAGCGCAGCCCUGCAGGCUCCCUCCUCAGGUUCAGCCACCCUGGAGCAGGCCGAGCUCCUAGGGGGCCCAGAGAAGCUGUGCUAGGCAAACAGCCUUGAACGUGGACUGCCUGUCUUUUGGGGGAUGUGUCCACUUACAAACCCUAAUCUGCAGCCUUUGUGCCUUGCCUCCACCACUCCUCCCCUUCAUAGGUUUUCUUCUCCUCUGCUGUCCAGAGCCUGUGAGAGCUCCAGCUGCAGACUAUCAGGAUGGGGUAAAGGCCGCUGUGCGCAGGCACACUCACGUUUACUACCACCACCAAGCGAACACCUGCUGAGGCUCUGAUCUGCUGUUAACACCAUGUGGGGGAGGGAAGUGUCCAGGAGGGGGCAGUGAACCCAAAGGAAGGCUGCAGAGAAGCCAACUAUAAUAAGCUAAUAAGCUAUCACAGAAUCAAGACACCUGCACAUGGAACAGUCAAAUGAUUCCUGCAGGCAAAGUUCCUCUGGCUUCACUCUUCCUCCCGAGCUAAGAGCUCACCAAAGCCGUGCAAAUCUACUUUCCAAUGAGGCUCAACCCCUCCCUUGCCAAGCCAUUUUUAAUAAGGCACGCCCAUCUCAUUAGUUUGCACCCCCUUCACUCUGUCCAGGGAGCGGCUCCAAUGAGCAAGGGCACCCCAUUUCCUCCUAGUGCAGGUUCAGACCCUUACCCACAGAGGAAUCUGAGGCUGAAUUUCAGCACAGCACAAUGGAUGGAGGUUGAACCUUGCCUGUGCCACUUCCUGGCUGGGCCACCUGGACAAGUCACUUUACCUUCCUGAGCCUCAGUACAGACAGUCCCCAAAGUCCAGUGGUUUGAUUCAAGAUUUUUCAACUUUAUGAUGAUGCAAAAGCAAUAUGCACUUGGGAGAAACUGUGCCUCAAGUACCCAUACAACCAUUCUCUUUUUCAUUUUCGGUAUUCAAUAAACUACAUGAGAUAUUCAA